GCGCAAGUGGUGGAAUUGGUAUACACGCAGGAUUUAGGUUCCUGUGCUUCACGGCGUGCGGGUUCGAGUCCCGUCUUGCGCA
rnacentral:tRNA from 1 species